UAGGGAAUCUUCCGCAAUGGGCGCAAGCCUGACGGAGCAACGCCGCGUGAGUGAUGAAGGCCUUCGGGUUGUAAAACUCUGUCUUCUGUGAAGAACCAUCCUGUGCAGGGAAAGCUCAGGACCUGACGGUAACAGAGGAGGAAGCCCCGGCUAACUACGUGC
rnacentral:rRNA from 1 species